AACCGCGGUUACACGAGAGACCCUAGUUGAUAGAUACGGCGUAAAGUGUGGUUAGGGAUUAAAACUUAAUAAAGUCAAAUUAUCUAUACAGCUGUUGAUGAGCAUGCAAGAUCGCGAAGCCCAAUAACGAAAGUAACUUUAUUUUUCCUGAAUCCACGAAAGCUAAGAAA
rnacentral:rRNA from 1 species